ACGGGUGAGUAACGCGUAGGUAACCUGCCUCAUAGCGGGGGAUAACUAUUGGAAACGAUAGCUAAUACCGCAUAAGAGUAAUUAACACAUGUUAGUUAUUUAAAAGGAGCAAUUGCUUCACUGUGAGAUGGACCUGCGUUGUAUUAGCUAGUUGGUGAGGUAAAGGCUCACCAAGGCGACGAUACAUAGCCGACCUGAGAGGGUGAUCGGCCACACUGGGACUGAGACACGGCCCAGACUCCUACGGGAGGCAGCAGUAGGGAAUCUUCGGCAAUGGACGAAAGUCUGACCGAGCAACGCCGCGUGAGUGAAGAAGGUUUUCGGAUCGUAAAACUCUGUUGUUAGAGAAGAAUGUUGCAUAGAGUGGAAAAUUAUGCAAGUGACGGUAUCUAACCAGAAAGGGACGGCUAACUACGUGCCAGCAGCCGCGGUAAUACGUAGGUCCCGAGCGUUGUCCGGAUUUAUUGGGCGUAAAGCGAGCGCAGGUGGUUUAAUAAGUCUGAUGUAAAAGGCAGUGGCUCAACCAUUGUGUGCAUUGGAAACUGUUAGACUUGAGUGCAGUAGAGGAGAGUGGAAUUCCAUGUGUAGCGGUGAAAUGCGUAGAUAUAUGGAGGAACACCGGUGGCGAAAGCGGCUCUCUGGACUGUCACUGACACUGAGGCUCGAAAGCGUGGGUAGCAAACA
rnacentral:rRNA from 1 species